AACGAACGCUGGCGGCAGGCUUAACACAUGCAAGUCGAGCGCCCCGCAAGGGGAGCGGCAGACGGGUGAGUAACGCGUGGGAAUCUACCCAUCUCUACGGAAUAACGUAUGGAAACGUGUGCUAAUACCGUAUACGUCCUUCGGGAGAAAGAUUUAUCGGAGAUGGAUGAGCCCGCGUUGGAUUAGCUAGUUGGUGGGGUAAAGGCCUACCAAGGCGACGAUCCAUAGCUGGUCUGAGAGGAUGAUCAGCCACACUGGGACUGAGACACGGCCCAGACUCCUCCGGGAGGCAGCAGUGGGGAAUAUUGGACAAUGGGCGCAAUCCUGAUCCAGCCAUGCCGCGUGAGUGAUGAAGGCCCUAGGGUUGUAAAGCUCUUUCACCGGUGAAGAUAAUGACGGUAACCGGAGAAGAAGCCCCGGCUAACUUCGUGCCAGCCGCCGCAGUAACAC
rnacentral:rRNA from 1 species